rnacentral:rRNA from 1 species
GACGAACGCUGGCGGCGUGCUUAACACAUGCAAGUCGAACGAGUGGCGAACGGGUGAGUAAUACGUGGGUAACUGCCCAUUAGAGGGGGAUAACUAUUGGAAACGAUAGCUAAUACCGCAUACUAGUAGAUGGACCUGUGUUGUAUUAGCUAGUAGGUAGGGUAAUGGCCUACCUAGGCAACGAUACAUAGCCGACCUGAGAGGGUGGUCCGCCAACAUGGGACCGGGGAACGGCCCAGCCUCCCACGGGAGGCAGCAGGAGGGAAUCUUCGGCAAUUGGGGGAACCCUGACCGAGCAACGCCGCGUGAGUGAAGAAAGUUUUCGGAUCGUAAAGCUCUGUUGUUAAGGAAGCGGUACUUGACCAGAAAGGGACGGCUAACUACGUGCCAGCAGCCGCGGUAAUAC